AAGUCGUAACAAGGUUUCCGUAGGUGAACCUGCGGAAGGAUCAUUACUGAGUUCAUGCCCUUACGGGUAGAUCUCCCACCCUUUGUAUACUAUACCUUUGUUGCUUUGGCGGGCCGCCUAGCUACUGGCUUCGGCUGGUAAGUGCCCGCCAGAGGACCCAAAACCCUGAAUAUUAGUGUCGUCUGAGUAAAAAGUUUAAUAUUUAAAACUUUCAACAACGGAUCUCUUGGCUCUG
rnacentral:misc_RNA from 1 species